GAGGCUUUAGCUUAAUUAAAGUGUCUGUUUUGCAUACAGAAGAUGUGGGUUAGUUUCCCGUAGGUCUUA
rnacentral:tRNA from 1 species